CGUGGGCAACCUGCCCUACAGAGGGGGAUAACCCGCCGAAAGGCGGGCUAAUACCGCAUGAUAUUCCGGUGGCUUCGGCCGCUGGACUCAAAGUCCGCAAGGACGCUGUUGGAGGGGCCCGCGCCCGAUUAGCUAGUUGGUGAGGUAACGGCUCACCAAGGCAAUGAUCGGUAGUCGGUCUGAGAGGAUGAUCGACCACACUGGAACUGAGACACGGUCCAGACUCCUACGGGAGGCAGCAGUGGGGAAUAUUGCGCAAUGGGCGAAAGCCUGACGCAGCGACGCCGCGUGGGGGAUGAAGCUUCUCGGAGUGUAAACCCCUUUCGACCCGGACGAAUGUCCCGCAAGGGAUUGACGGUACGGGUAUAAGAAGCCCCGGCUAACUACGUGCCAGCAGCCGCGGUAAUACGUAGGGGGCCAGCGUUGCUCGGAAUUACUGGGCGUAAAGGGUUCGUAGGCGGUGUGGCAAGUCGGAAGUGAAAUCUCCAGGCUUAACUUGG
rnacentral:rRNA from 1 species